UGGGGAAUCUUGCGCAAUGGGCGAAAGCCUGACGCAGCAACGCCGCGUGCGGGAUGAAGGCCUUCGGGUUGUAAACCGCUUUUACCAGGAACGAAAAUGACGGUACCUGGAGAAUAAGGUGCGGCCAACUACGUG
rnacentral:rRNA from 1 species